rnacentral:tRNA from 1 species
GGCUCCGUGGUCAAGGGGUUAAGACACCGCCCUUUCACGGCGGUAACACGGGUUCAAUUCCCGUCGGAGUCA